rnacentral:rRNA from 1 species
CUAACUGGAGGACCGAACCGACUAAUGUUGAAAAAUUAGCGGAUGACCUGUGGCUGGGGGUGAAAGGCCAAUCAAACCGGGAGAUAGCUGGUUCUCCCCGAAAGCUAUUUAGGUAGCGCCUCGUGAACUCAUCUCCGGGGGUAGAGCACUGUUUCGGCUAGGGGGCCAUCCCGGCUUACCAACCCGAUGCAAACUGCGAAUACCGGAGAAUGUUAUCACGGGAGACACACGGCGGGUGCUAACGUCCGUCGUGAAGAGGGAAACAACCCAGACCGCCAGCUAAGGUCCCAAAGUCAUGGUUAAGUGGGAAACGAUGUGGGAAGGCCCAGACAGCCAGGAUGUUGGCUUAGAAGCAGCCAUCAUUUAAAGAAAGCGUAAUAGCUCACUGGUCGAGUCGGCCUGCGCGGAAGAUGUAACGGGGCUAAACCAUGCACCGAAGCUGCGGCAGCGACACUCAGGUGUUGUUGGGUAGGGGAGCGUUCUGUAAGCCUGCGAAGGUGGCCUGUGAGGGUUGCUGGAGGUAUCAGAAGUGCGAAUGCUGACAUAAGUAACGAUAAAGCGGGUGAAAAGCCCGCUCGCCGGAAGACCAAGGGUUCCUGUCCAACGUUAAUCGGGGCAGG